rnacentral:rRNA from 1 species
CCCUUAGAUGUUCUGGGCCGCACACGCGCUACACUGAAGGAGGCAGCGUGUACUCCUGGAUCGAAAGAUUUGGGUAACCCGCGAAUCUCCUUCGUGCUAGGGAUUGAGGUUUGCAAUUAUCCUUCAUGAACGAGGAAUUCCCAGUAAGUGCAAGUCAUAAGCUUGCGCUGACUACGUCCCUGCCCUUUGUACACACCGCCCGUCGCUACUACCGAUUGAAUGAUUUAGUGAGGACUUCGGACUGGGACCAAUGCGGCUUUCGGGCUGCGUCGGUAUUCUGGAAAGAUGUCCAAACUGUAUCAUUUAGAGGAAGUAAAAGUCGUANCA